AGAUCUGUCUGUUCCUAUUCUUUCUUAGAGAAACCUAAAACACAAACCCUCCAUCUACUCUCACUCUCUCUUGCGAUUCUAUACCUAGAAUAAACUCAUCUCUGGAUCCACUUUCAAGUCGACCCCAAUCACCGAUUUCCUCUGGUUAUGCUAAAAACGUCUAGGGAUUUGCAGAUCUUGAAAAGAGAAGAGAAAUAUAAAGAGAACGUUGCGGGCUAUGACCUCCGACGACGAUAAAGCAGGUCAUCACCUAAGUUCAGCACAUAAGCAGGGUUUGCUGUGUUAAGGGAUGGCCAAAGAAGGGAUUACAUCAUCAUCCCAGCAUCAGCAACUUUCUUUCUUUUCAAAACUGCAGCAUACCAGGAGUAUAAUAAGACUAAACAUCCACAACUUUUGUAUGAAGCUAGGAGUACAAUGUUCACUCUGAAUGAUAUGAUUUGACCGAGUCUUGAGGACCCGUUUGUGUAUUGUGGGAGGAACUUCCAUUUGAAAACAGUCUUGAUGUUGGCUGAUUAAAUGGUGCUAAAAACGCUCUGCACCAGCCUGAGUGGGCCUGAACCAGCCUUGUGGUUCCUUUGUUUGACUUAAAUCCACUCUAUAGUCAUCUCUCUUGCCAAAUUUCAUUAAAACCACACUAAAAAAUAUAGUACACUUAAAAAAUAUAUAUUAGAUCUAUCAUCUGUAUGAUCAGUAUUUUACCCAGAGCGAUCAGGAGAAGCUGCUUGCUAGGUACUCUUUUAUAACUAACUUGCAUGGAAUUUGUUUGAUUGUCUGAUUUUUCUGAAUGCUAUGGGGCUCUUUUUGUUUCUUUGUAAAUAUGGAGUAUUUUUUAAGAACGGGUAUCUGUAAGUUUGGAGCAUCUUGUAAGUUUCACAAUUCUAGACAUACGGGUGGAUCUUUGAGUGACGGUUUUACUUUUUUAUUUGAAGUUAUUGGUCUAAAUGAUUACCUGGUAGCUAAUGUCGUUAUUUUUUACCAUGUUGAGGUUAGUCAAAACUGUUUUUUCUAUAAUUAUUUUUAAUUUUUGAAUUAAGUGAUAUUAACACUUGUAUUGUGGAGGUUAAAAUUGAUCUAAGUUACAGGGUCUAUGAUGCUGGUCUUUAUGGCGGAUUUAUGUGUGGCCGGGGGGUAGCCCGGUAUACCCCUCAAUUUUUUCCGCGAAGUGCAAUUUUAUGUUAGGUAAAGAUAAAAAUGAAAUGAAGUUUUGUGGUUGACGGAAACGAAAGUUUCCUAUAGACUGCAGCGAUGUUUUCCGAUGGACUGCAGCAGCACUUGUUAUUUAUUGGAGAAGAUGAAGUUAUAUGUUUAUAUUAAUAUAUUUAUAUGGUCACGGGGAAC